rnacentral:rRNA from 1 species
UACGAAGGGGGCUAGCGUUGUUCGGAAUUACUGGGCGUAAAGCGCGCGUAGGCGGACAUUUAAGUCAGGGGUGAAAUGCCGGGGCUCAACCUCGGAACUGCCUUUGAUACUGGGUGUCUGGAGUUCGGGAGAGGUGAGUGGAAUUCCGAGUGUAGAGGUGAAAUUCGUAGAUAUUCGGAGGAACACCAGAAGCGAAGGCGGCUCACUGGCCCGAUACUGACGCUGAGGCGCGAAAGCGUGGGGAGCAAACAGG